GAUUUUAUUAUAAUGAUUAAUUAUAUAAUAUUUAAUAAUUAAUCAUUUAUUUUUAGUGUAUAAAUAUUAAUUUAUAUUUAAACCUAUAGAAUUAAUAAUAAUGUUUAUGUAAAUAAUUAAUAAUAAAUUAAAUAUCCCUGUAAAACAUUUAUCAUGGUGACUGGAACAUGGGAGAUACUGAAUUAAAUAACUGUUGCUAUGUAUAAUUGAAAAAAGAUCCAGACAGUUACAGAUAUUAUGUUUAGACAUAUACAGAGUAGAGUCAAGAUCACCAAAGGAAUCCAGAUUUUUAAAAUACAUUAAGUAAAAUGUGACAUUAGAAGUAGUAUCUCAUCUCUGCAUAGAACUUACAGAUUUUCCAAGAACUUUCA
rnacentral:lncRNA from 10 species